rnacentral:rRNA from 1 species
GAACUGAAGAGUUUGAUCCUGGCUCAGAUUGAACGCUGGCGGCAUGCCUUACACAUGCAAGUCGAACGGCAGCGCGGGGCAACCUGGCGGCGAGUGGCGAACGGGUGAGUA